AUGUUCCCCAUGUUCCAGGAGCUUGCACCACACGACCGACACGACAAGUGUGGUCACCACUAUGCGGUCUGUCUUGACCUGAAGAACCAACGUAUCGAGGUGCUUGAUUCAAUCCGUUCGGAAGCUGAUGCAGACCUUACUACGCAUGCCGAAUUAUUCAUCAAGAACCUCAAAGAGACUUGGAACCGUCACUACAAACAUUCAAAGGUCCAGAUCAGGCAUUUCCCGACUGAGUAUGUGGCGACUGUGAAGCAAGGGAACACGACGGACUGUGGCUUUCACGCGCUGGAAUACUUUGCAAAGUGGGAAGGCAGAAUUGUCCCCGCUAUCACAGAUGCAACGGUCGUUGAGCUCCGAAAAAUCUGCACAUGGAACUGGCUGACGAAUGAAGAUUUCAACAAGCGGUCCGGAGCACGCGAGUUCGUGGAGGAAGCUGUCAAGCAAGUCAUCAAGAAGUACAAGUGA
rnacentral:rRNA from 1 species